CAUGGCCUGGGGUGUUCGAGGUCCGGUCAAGUUUGAUACCUACAAGCAUUUGAGAGGGAGCGUGAGCAGGAUUGUGGUGUGCAUGCCGGUCCCGAAAGGAUCCGGAAGCCUAAACAUCCUCGAGCGCCAAUACGUGGAAAACGGGUAUCUCAAAUGGCGAUCGGCACGGCAUCCUGGACCUUUU
rnacentral:other from 1 species